UACGUAGGUGGCAAGCGUUGUCCGGAUUUACUGGGCGUAAAGAGCGCGCAGGCGGCCAAGUAAGUCGAAUGUGAAAGCCCCCGGCUUAACUGGGGAGGGUCAUUCGAUACUGCUCGGCUCGAAGACAGGAGAGGGAAGUGGAAUUCCCGGUGUAGUGGUGAAAUGCGUAGAUAUCGGGAAGAACACCAACGGCGAAGGCACUCUGCUGGGCCGACACUGACACUAAGAGACGAAAGCUAGGGUAGCGAAUGGG
rnacentral:rRNA from 1 species